CAGGGACGGAAUUGGUGUCUAUCCUGAUUAUACUUCAUGUCUCCUGGAAUCUUCAGAGGUUGAAAGGAAACUUCAGCAGAUGUCACGAGCCUCGAUCAGAAGAAGGAGGCGGAAGAGGAAGAAGAGAAGGGACUCGCUUCACUCCUUACCUUGGAGACAGCUGACGGCGGAGCCACACAAAUCCUCCAGUGACCGGCAAACCCACAGGAUAGUUGGAAAAUUUCUUUUAGAGAAGAAAGCCUGGCGUCGCUGGGAUACAAUGUGUAUGGCAAGCAACCAAGCAUUAAGAAUGACAUGAGAGACUAAUAGGUGAGAAGAAACUUGGAGAGAACCGCCGAUUUCAAACACUGCAAUGGAAAAGGAGGAAGGUGGUGAGAUCUGCAACAGAAAAGGAGGAUAGUGGGGGGAGGGAUAGCUCAGUGGUUUGAGCAUUGG